CCUUUGUACAUGAUGUGUAAAUUUGUACUUGUAGGGAAUCUCGGAACUCAAUGAAGUUGAUUGACCUCCUUUGAACGCUCUACAGCUGCAUCAAUGCUUCAUAAAGAGAAAACAGUCGAUAUAGAGGAGUAGGUCAUUCAACAACCAUCCAGUGCCUGGUACAUUAUCAGGUAAUGAACCUGCCGAAGCUCUUAUUAGAAGAAAAGUGUGGACGAAAUGGUCUGAGGACAACAACUUUUAUGAAGCAGUAAUUACACAAUACAGUGCAGUGGAGGUAUGACUUCCUAUGGGCUGCUGAGACUUUUACAUCGAGAGACUGAUCA